AGACACGCUUAUGAUCCGCUUAACCUACGAGGCGAGAGGUGAAGACCUCGCCAUACUGCUGAGUAACACGUAGUUAACCUGCCCUUAGGUGGGGAAUAGUCUCGCGAAAGUGAGGCUAAUGCCCCAUAGGCUUUGGAUACUGGAGUGUUCCAAAGCCCAAAGCUCAGGCGCCUAAGGAUGGGACUGCGGCUUAUCAGGCUGUUGUGAGGGUAAAAUCCUCACAAACCUAUAACGAGUAGGGGCCAUGAGAGUGGGAGCCUCCAGAUGCCUUCUGAGACAUGAAGGCAGGGCCUACGGGUCGCAGCAGGUGCGAAAACUUUCCAAUGCGUUCACGCGUGAGAAGGGGAGUCUGAGUGGUUGCGCUUUGCGCAACCUUUUCUUCAGUCUAGAAAGCUGGAGGAAUAAGUAGUGGGCAAGACGGGUGCCAGCCGCCGCGGUAAUACCCGCGCUACGAGUGGUGAUCACGAUUAUUGGGCCUAAAGCGUCCGUAGCCGGCCUUGCAAGUCCUUGGUGAAAUCCUGCAGCUAACUGCAGGGCGUGCUGAGAAUACUGCAAGGAUUGGGACUGGGAAAGGUCUGGGGUAUUCCACGGGUAGGGGUUAAAUCCUUUAAUCCGUGGAGGACCACCUGUGGCGACAUCCUUUAGGAUGAAGCUGUACCGAGUUCCUAUAGGGUGCCAUUAAAGGCGCCAGACCGGAACAGGUCCGACGGUGAGGGACGAAAGCUGGGGGAGCGACCCGGAUUAGAUACCCGGUUAGUCCCAGCUGUAAACGAUGCCCGUUUGGUGUUGCAAGUUCUACGCGAACAUGCAGUGCCGGAGCGUAGGUGUUAAACGGGCCGCCUGGGGAGUACGAUCGCAAGGUUGAAACUUAAGG
rnacentral:rRNA from 1 species